GACGAACGCUGGCGGCGUGCUUAACACAUGCAAGUCGAACGGAAAGGCCCUGCUUGCAGGGUACUCGAGUGGCGAACGGGUGAGUAACACGUGGGUGAUCUGCCCUGCACUUCGGGAUAAGCUUGGGAAACUGGGUCUAAUACCGGAUAGGAGCCAUCUUUAGUGUGGUGGUUGGAAAGUUUUUUCGGUGUAGGAUGAGCUCGCGGCCUAUCAGCUUGUUGGUGGGGUAAUGGCCUACCAAGGCGGCGACGGGUAGCCGGCCUGAGAGAGUGUACGGCCACAUUGGGACUGAGAUACGGCCCAGACUCCGACGGGAGGCAGCAGUGGGGAAUAUUGCACAAUGGGCGCAAGCCUGAUGCAGCGACGCCGCGUGGGGGAUGAAGGCCUUCGGGUUGUAAACUCCUUUCGCUAGGGACGAAGCUUUGUUGUGACGGUACCUAGAUAAGAAGCACCGGCUAACUACGUG
rnacentral:rRNA from 1 species